rnacentral:rRNA from 1 species
GAUGAACGCUGGCGGCGUGCCUAAUACAUGCAAGUCGAGCGAACAGAUGAGGAGCUUGCUCCUCUGACGUUAGCGGCGGACGGGUGAGUAACACGUGGAUAACCUACCUAUAAGACUGGGAUAACUUCGGGAAACCGGAGCUAAUACCGGAUAAUAUAUUGAACCGCAUGGUUCAAUAGUGAAAGACGGUUUUGCUGUCACUUAUAGAUGGAUCCGCGCCGCAUUAGCUAGUUGGUAAGGUAACGGCUUACCAAGGCAACGAUGCGUAGCCGACCUGAGAGGGUGAUCGGCCACACUGGAACUGAGACACGGUACAGACUCCUACGGGAGGCAGCAGUAGGGAAUCUUCCGCAAUGGGCGAAAGCCUGACGGAGCAACGCCGCGUGAGUGAUGAAGGUCUUCGGAUCGUAAAACGCUGUUAUUAGGGAAGAACAAAUGUGUAAGUAACGAUGCACGUCUUGACGGUACCUAAUCAGAAAGCCACGGCGAACUACGU